rnacentral:rRNA from 1 species
UACGUAGGGUGCGAGCGUUGUCCGGAAUUAUUGGGCGUAAAGAGCUCGUAGGCGGUUUGUCACGUCUGCUGUGAAAUCCCGAGGCUCAACCUCGGGCCUGCAGUGGGUACGGGCAGACUGGAGUGCGGUAGGGGAGAAUGGGAUUCCUGGUGUAGCGGUGGAAUGCGCAGAUAUCAGGAGGAACACCGAUGGCGAAGGCAGUUCUCUGGGCCGUAACUGACGCUGAGGAGCGAAAGCGUGGGGAGCGAACAGG